GACAGAGGGUGCAAACGUUGUUCGGAAUUACUGGGCGUAAAGCGAGUGUAGGCGGUUUGGUAAGUCGGAUGUGAAAGCCCCGGGCUCAACCCGGGAAGUGCACUCGAUACUGCCAAGCUAGAGUAUCGGAGAGGUUGGUGGAAUUCUCGGUGUAGAGGUGAAAUUCGUAGAUAUCGAGAGGAACACCGGUGGCGAAGGCGGCCAACUGGACGAAUACUGACGCUGAGACUCGGAAGCGUGGGGAGCAAACAGG
rnacentral:rRNA from 1 species